rnacentral:tRNA from 1 species
GUUUUAAUAGUUUAAUAAAAACCUUGGUCUUGUAAACCAAAAUUGAAUAGCUUCUUAAAACU